AGAUAACAUAUUAAUGUCUUUCCAAACUUCGAUGUAUAACAAAAGUAAAAACAUGUACCGUCCUUUCCAUAGACAUUUUUCUAUUUUUACUUAAGUUUCUAUUCUAAUCAGGAUUAGAGCAAGACAGCAAAAGGAAAAAGUUAAUAAGAGUAAAGUGGGUGAUGAGCUAAAUAAGAGUACAUUGAAAGUUCAAGGUUCCCCUUUUAUAUAAGAGUAGGCUUAAAAAGAAACAACAAAAAAAGUUAUACCUGAUAUGAAAGGUGCGAUUUCACCAAGUGCAAUAUAUUGCUAAUUAUGCCAUAUUUUUUGAAAUAAUAAAAAUAAGGAAGGCUCAUUUGGUUAUGUUGCCUUACAAAGCUGCUUUACAAAGCCCGAUGUCUCUGUAGGUAUACAAGCCAAUGUUUGCUUUUUUUUUGGUUUGUUUUGGUUUGGAUUUUUGUUUGUUUGUUUUUGUUUUUGUUUUUGAGCAGGAGCGUCUCAUUUUUUUUCAGCACUGUUGCAUGAAGUAGGACAAACUCAGAUUUUUUUUUCUUCAGGGCUCCUGUUAUUUCUUGGAAAAAAAGGACCAGGGUGCUUGUCUUCUUUUUCUUCCUUCUCGGUAUUCCAGGCACAAAGCACUGCGCAGAAGCUGCACCAAUCCUUGCUGUCCCUGGCAGCAGAAUGGUAGAAGGUGGGAGAGACCAGGAAUCCUUCCAGGCUGAGCUGACUUUAGAAAUGAGGAUUGCACACGUUUGUCUCCUGAACCAAAAGGAGAUAAGCAGCAGAAUUUAUCAGGCGUGAAAGGGACAGCCUCCUGGUGGCCUGCCAAAAACCCAGAAUAAAGGCGAAGUUGUGCUUCAAAGCUCAGUCGCUUGCUGAGUCUGGCUAAAGUCAAGUAUUAAGAUCCACCAUUUUCUGAGCCAUGCUAGAAAAGAAGAAAAAAGUCAGGACGGUUGCUGCUUUCCAAGUCUCCGUUGGCACCAUCACAAAAUCUCAGUCGUAAGGUCACAUGAUUCUCUGCCAAAUGUAGAGUGCAUUCCCAUCAAACCAUUCUGCUGAUACUGCGAAGGCAGCUAUUGUCUCGUUUAGACCCAAAGUUCAGCCCACUCUUCAUUGAAUUAGCUGAAAAACGCAUCACCUUUGGGGGCUGGGAGUCAUGGAAACGUCUACCUGGCAAGCUGCCCACUUUUUCUGCCCAUCAACCAGAGAUGGAAUUGUGCUGCCUGAUGCAAUGAGGACUUGGAAUGUGAAGACUCGUCCAAAGUGAAUCUGAUUCUUGCAACGCCUGUUUCAGUUUGCACAGAAAACUCUGGCUUCUUUUAUUUAAGGUGGUGGGGGGGAAUCUUUCCUACUAACUGUAGCAAAUAAAGGUCUGAACAUGCCUACUCUGCAACUUUAUUUCACAACACACCCAAAUGGUUCUCAAAUGAAAAGACGGAAGCCCUGCAAGUGUUCUGAGUUAAAGGCAUCCCAUCCUCUGUCUCCUACUCCUUACUAAUACAUGCAACAAGCUCAGGACAUUUGUUUUAGUCUCUCACAUUAAGAUUAAAAAUCUGUGCGAUUCUUCUUGCUUUCUAUUACUUUCUGAUUUUAUCUGGCACACGUUUUGUACUACAUGGCCACAAAAUCCACUAGCAACAGUGGGGAUGCAUUAUUGCUUCAAUCUCCUUCAAAGUGGUCCCCAGAGAGAGCUAGUUGUCUCUUCAACCACACAAAACCUUGCAACUGGGUUCUGUGGUAAUCCUCAUCGGUACCUAGCACAGCUGCUCUGCUGGUUUGCUGAGAAUGACUCAUGUAAGUAGUGCUCUUUCUGUUCCUUCGCUAGCUACAGUUUGCCUGUUUGGCAUGAAAGAUGCCUUUGAAAGAUGUAGGGAAUGUUAUCAACACCUCUCAGGCAAUAAAAUGAAAUGGUUCCCCCUCCCCAAUGAAUUUCCAUUCUAGCAGGCGACCAAAGUUCCCAUGGAGGAACAUUUCCAGACUUUCUAACAAAAGUACAGUGAAUUAAAUCUUUCACCAUUUCCUUAAGCAGAAUCUAAAGCCAGGCGGGAAAACGAGCAUUAUUAGUAUUUAAACCAAACAUACUCAGUAGUACUAAAAAGAAUCGUGUUCUUCUCCUCCAUUAAAAAAAAUGGUUCGGUAAUGGGAGAUCUUUAUCUGAAGUAUAAUUAUGCUUGCAAAAAAAUUAUUUGCAGGACUUUACCAAACGAUGGGCUAACAUUAUCCCUCCUCCAUGGAUAUACAGCCACACAACACACAUUGCAUGACAAAGGUUUAAAGAUAAUCAAACCACGAUUUAACUAAAAAUCAAUCAUCAUCAUCAAAAAAAAAAAAAAAGAUUCAGGGAUCUAGGAAACA